rnacentral:rRNA from 1 species
UACAGAGGGGGCAAGCGUUGUUCGGAAUUACUGGGCGUAAAGCGCGCGUAGGCGGCUUUGCAAGUCGGGUGUGAAAUCCCCAGGCUUAAACCUGGGAACUGCAUCCGAGACUGCAUUGCUAGAGUAUGGGAGAGGGAAGUGGAAUUUCAGGUGUAGCGGUGAAAUGCGUAGAUAUCUGAAGGAACAUCAGUGGCGAAAGCGACUUCCUGGACCAAUACUGACGCUCAUGUGCGAAAGCGUGGGGAGCAAACAGG